UACGGGGGGGGGCAAGCGUUGUUCGGAAUUACUGGGCGUAAAGGGCUCGUAGGCGGCCAACUAAGUCAGACGUGAAAUCCCUCGGCUUAACCGGGGAACUGCGUCUGAUACUGGAUGGCUUGAGGUUGGGAGAGGGAUGCGGAAUUCCAGGUGUAGCGGUGAAAUGCGUAGAUAUCUGGAGGAACACCGGUGGCGAAGGCGGCAUCCUGGACCAAUUCUGACGCUGAGGAGCGAAAGCCAGGGGA
rnacentral:rRNA from 1 species